rnacentral:rRNA from 1 species
UACGUAGGGUGCGAGCGUUGUCCGGAAUUAUUGGGCGUAAAGAGCUUGUAGGCGGUUUGUCGCGUCUGCCGUGAAAAUCCGGGGCUCAACCCCGGACUUGCGGUGGGUACGGGCAGACUAGAGUGUGGUAGGGGAGACUGGAAUUCCUGGUGUAGCGGUGAAAUGCGCAGAUAUCAGGAGUAACACCGGUGGCGAAGGCGGUUCUCUGGGCCUUACCUGACACUGAGGAGCGAAAGCGUGGGGAGCGAACAGG